AUUAGAGUUUGAUCCUGGCUCAGGACAAACGCUGGCGGCGUGCCUAACACAUGCAAGUCGAACGCCCUGCGCAAGCAGGGAGUGGCGGACGGGUGAGUAACACGUGGGCUACCUACCUUUCGGUGAGGAAUACCGGCGAGAAAUCGCCGACAAUACCGCAUACGCUUCUUUCACGAGAAGCAAAGUCGCAAGACGCCGAAUGAUGGGCCUGCGUCCGAUUAGCCAGUUGGUGGGGUCACGGCUCACCAAAGCGACGAUCGGUAGCUGGUCUGAGAGGACGAUCAGCCACACUGGGAUUGAGAACGGCCCAGACUCCUACGGGGGGCAGCAGUGAGGAAUCUUCGUCAAUGGGGGCAACCCUGAACGAGCAACGCCGCGUGCAGGAGGACGGUUUUCGGAUCGUAAACUGCUUUUCUCGGGGACGACACAAAGGACGGUACCCGAGGAACAAGCCCCGGCUAACUACGUGCCAGCAGCCGCGGUAAUACGUAGGGGGCGAGCGUUGUCCGGAGUUACUGGGCGUAAAGCGCGCGCAGGCGGUCCAUUAAGUCUGGAGUGACAGUUCCCAGCUUACCUGGGAAAGGUCUUCGGAAACUGGUGGACUUGAGGGACUCAGAGGGAGACGGAAUUCCAGGUGGAGCGGUGAAAUGCGUAGAGAUCUGGAGGAACACCAAAGGCGAAGGCAGUCUCCUGGGAGUUUCCUGACGCUCAGGCGCGAAAGCCAGGGGAGCGAACGGGAUUAGAUACCCCGGUAGUCCUGGCCGUAAACGAUGACCACCAGGCGUGGGAGGGAUCGACCCCUUCCGUGCCGGCGCUUACGCUUUGAGUGGUCCGCCUGGGGAGUACGGUCGCAAGAUUAAAACUCAAAGGAAUUGACGGGGACCCGCACAAGCAGCGGAGCGUGUGGUUUAAUUCGACGCAACGCGAAGAACCUUACCAAAGCUUGACAUGCACUCGCACCAGCCGUAAUGGGCUCUUCCUUCGGGACGGGUGUGCAGGUGCUGCAUGGCUGUCGUCAGCUCGUGUCGUGAGAUGUUGGGUUCAGUCCCGCAACGAGCGCAACCCCUGUCGCUAGUUGAAUGUUCUAGCGAGACCGCCGUCUCAAAACGGAGGAAGGUGGGGAUGACGUCAAGUCAGCACGGCCCUGACGCUUUGGGCGACACACACGCUACAAUGGCCGGGACAAUGGGUUGCCAACCCGCGAGGGGGAGCCAAUCCCACAAACCCGGUCUCAGUUCGGAUUGUAGGCUGCAACUCGCCUGCAUGAAGUCGGAGUUGCUAGUAACCGCAAGUCAGCACAUUGCGGUGAAUACGUUCCCGGGUCUUGUACACACCGCCCGUCACACCACGAAAGUUGACAACACCUGAAGCCGCCGGGCUAACCCGCAAGGGGGGCAGGCGUCGAGGGUGGGGCCAAUGAUUGGGGUGAAGUCGUAACAAGGUAGCCGUAAAUC
rnacentral:rRNA from 1 species